CACAAUCAGGGACUGAUUAAAUUCUUUUUGGCCCCACUGUGUGUGUGUGUGUAUGUAUAUAUAUAUAUAUAUAUAUAUAACGAACACUUUGUUGAAUAAUUUGUUUUUAGAAAUCCCAACAUAUGUGUUGUUUUAUGUGUGCACAGUUGUUAUAAAUGAGGCCCCAUUAGGCCAAACUGUCACCAAGUUUGAUGAAACUUAGUGGCUUCGUUUGUGAGUAACCUUGUUGAAAAAGACAGGGACAGUGAACCAAAUGAAUUGUACAUGUUGAUGACAACACCUGUAAAGAACAGUUCAUCAGUUCAUCCUGUUUCAGGAGUGUAACGUUGCCUCCACAUCUGGGUGACCUUUAACCCUGAGACAAAGCAGGCAGCGUUGCCUCCUGCCUCGCAGGUUGCUGACAUCACUGCCUGCCUUGGAUCAGGCCUCUAAUCACAGAUAGUGAUCAAUAUUUCCAUUAGACUUGAUGCAGCUGGUGUUUACAACAUUCUUAUUGACAGACUGACUUCACCAUUUGUGUCUGUGUUUUUUCUUUCUCUCCUCAGGCCACACAGUGGAGAAAGCUACGGUUACUUCAACCUCAGCGACUCAAGUUUCGUUAACGUUGCGUUUCAGCCUCGUACACACUGUACAUUCCCCAUUUCAGGAGGCAUUUGAACUUAGAAAUCAGCUGCAGAAAUGGCGUUUGAGAGACAGAAUCAACAAGUUGUUUUUGAUCUUUUUUGGAUGUGCUGAAAAAUCUCACCUACUUUUCCUCGACUGACAUUACUGAGUGACUUCAAAAAUAAAAUAAAACAGAAGCACAUGUCUUACAUGUGUCCAUCUGGUCAACACACAUCAUGCUGUUUUAUGGCAACUCAUAAAACCAUUCUACAGUGCCAUCUACUGGAAAUAUUAGGAAUACAAACCUAAUCAAUCAGUUUUUAUCUGGGAAAAAAAAAAAAAGGAAAAACUGCUGUUUAUGAAUAAAACACAUCUGAAAACAGUUCUGCAGUGUCAUUAUAGGAAUACAACCCAAAUCAAGGAAUAUCUAUAUAUCAAUGAAAAGCUUCUACAUUAUAAACAGACUCAGAACUAUUCUGCAGUUCCAUCUAGUGGAGAUAUUACCAACACAACCAGAAUGACUGAUCAUUUUUACCCAUCGACAAAAUAAUGAAAAGAUGCUAUGAUCUCAUUGAUCAAUAAGAACAUGACUGGAGCACUUUUAAAAUUACUUUUAGGUGUACUUGCACAGUAUAGUAUGUUCAUAUUCAUAAGAAACUUUUUUUUUUUCAUCUGAGUCUAAAAAUCAUUUUAUUCAUGAAUGGUAAUCAGUAAGUGACUUUGUCAUAUACCAGACAGUACAACUAUAAAGAAAUUAAGUCUUUUUUCUAUUUUUUUAGUUGAUAAUUUUAUUACACUUUAGUUAAAAUAAUGUUGAUUUUCUGUUGACAGAUUAAGGUUAAAAAAAAAAGAUAGCAGGAGAAUAGCUUUCAGUAAGCUCUAUUUUGGUCUUUCAGCAAAUACAGCACCAUCACAUCACUGGAGCAGCGUCAGAAAUACGAAGAGGAGUUUGACGCUGAGUAUCAAGAAUAUGAAGCUGUUCAUGACCGGAUCGCUGCUGCUGCAGAAAGGUUUCUUCAGAUGACCUCUGAACUGGACUCACUGCCUCCUGGGACGGAAGCUUAUCAGCAAAUGCAGGACCAGGUACUGGAAAAGUACAGAACCUAUCAGAAAGUAAGACUUUUUUCUGUUUUAUUGCAGUAUUGUUGACACCAGACAUAAUUGCACAGUUUGAUCUCUCAGUGUAUUUUUUUUGGUUUCCUGGAUAUCGGAAAGACAAAAGGAAAUACCUUUAUCUUCACCGUAAACUGGCGCAUAUAAAAGAAAGAAUUGAAGACUACGACCAAGCACAGGAGACCAGGAUCUGAUCGGACUGGACUGAAAGAGUACACAGCACGGCUGGAAUAUUUAUUUUUUUAUUUUUGCACAUGAAGUUUAUAAGAACAGAAUAUUUAUUUUGUGUAUUUUAGUGUAUUAAUGUGUUCCAUUUAUUAAAGAUUAUAUUUAUACAUAA